CCGCCCGCGUGUUCCCGGCGCACCCGGCUCUCGCUCUGGCUUCCCGCUUCUGCGAGGUCUGCACACCUCGUGGCCAAGACACCUUAGGAGCAGGACAGAGUUGAGAGGUUGGAAUGACUUGAUUCCAGAAAGAAAUUGGAAAUUGACAAUAGUAGGAGAGACUGUCAUUUUAACAUACUCUCACUUGCUUCAAAGAACACCUACCCGAAUCUUUGAAAGGUAUUUCUAACCACUAAUGUAAAUAUACAUUUAACGUUAUCAACUGGCAUCCCUUCAGGGAACUAAUUUUCUAAAGCUG
rnacentral:lncRNA from 1 species